ACGGACCCGCCGGGGCGGACCCUGCCCGCGCCCCCGGCAUCCACCAGGACGCAGCCAGGGCCGAGGCUGGGGCUGGGCCGCGCGGCCUCGCCUCCUGGGCCCCGCGGGGCGGGGGUGACCGGCGUGGGUCCCGCGACCCGGGGCGGCAGCGACCGUGGGCGGUGGGGCAGGUGGGGCAGGCGGCGCGUGCCCUGUCCCCUCCCCGGGCUCCGGCCACACGAGCGGGCCGGCGCUUCGCUGCUGGCAACGUGUCGCGGGAACGCUCCUACCCCAUCUGCAUGCCUUACAUGGCUCGAAAGUAAAAAUAAAAAGAAUUACGAUGCGGGCGAGGCUUGUGGGGGUGAGAAGAGGAGAUUCCGCUUCUCCCGUGCUGCGUCCUGAUAGGACCCCCAGGGCCUUCCGAGCCCUCUCCCAGCGACCACCUCGUGUCCCGGAGUUGCAGCAAGAGAUGUGAGAAGGUGUCACCCUGAAGAGGAAGUGGUGGACCAGCCCUGCCUGAUGUGGACAGCAGGGGACACAUGUCUGCCUGUCUAUGUGAAAUGAGGGAAAAAAUGCUGAAAGCCAAAGGAGGGUUUAAUGUGGCCUUUUCCACCUUCUAAUUCCAUAGAACCUCAGCUCUGGGACUUGCUUCCUGACCUAGGGUGCAGGGGCCAAAUUUGUUUAGGAACAACCCCAUUCGCAAUUCCCCUCAUGAACUUUCAGAAAGGACCCUUGCAUCUUAGAUCCUGAGAAGUCACAAAUAAACAAGCUGAAUUGUCUAAA